UACGGGGGGGGCAAGCGUUGUUCGGAAUUACUGGGCGUAAAGGGCUCGUAGGUGGCCAACUAAGUCAGACGUGAAAUCCCUCGGCUUAACCGGGGAACUGCGUCUGAUACUGGAUGGCUUGAGUUUGGGAGAGGGAUGCGGAAUUCCAGGUGUAGCGGUGAAAUGCGUAGAUAUCUGGAGGAACACCGGUGGCGAAGGCGGCAUCCUGGACCAACACUGACACUGAGGCGCGACAGCGUGGGGAGCAAACAGG
rnacentral:rRNA from 1 species